rnacentral:lncRNA from 1 species
CUGCGGCGGCGCGACACCCCCGCCGGCGCCGGCGCAGUCCGACCGCGACGUGGAGAUGGGUCUCCCCGGCGGCGAGAGCAGCGCAUCGCGGCCGGCGACGAAGCCACAGCCAGGUUCUUGAUGCGAACUGCUGCACUUCCACUCUCUCUCAUCAUCUUCUUCCUCCUCCUCUUCCACUCUUCUCCCUUGAGCCAUUGAGGCAUCAUCGGAAGCAAGUGUACAGAUGAUCCCCAUAUGUAUAACCAACUAUAUAAAUCUACAGUUUAUAGCUACAAGAUUUGGAUGCAUUUUGGCAAAUCCGUUGUUGGUCCAGUUAGCUCCGGUUUGCUUUUUUUUUUUCCACAGUGAAUAUAUCGAGCAAAAAUAAAGCUUGUUUCUUAUGAUGGGUGAAAAAGAUUCUUUAGCCAGUAUAUUAGUGUAAAAUGUCAAUUCGUAAUCACAUUCAUGUAAGGGCGGUGUUUGUUUGGGACAAAGAGACUUAUUUUUGUCCCUUGUCCCAUCGAAUAUCUGAACGUUUAUUAUAAAUUCGCGAGACGAAUCUACUGAGCCUAAUUACUCUAUGAUUAGCCUAUGUGAUGCUACAGUAAACAUAUUCUAAUUAUAGAUUAAUUAGGCUUAAAAAAUUCGUCUCGCGGAUUA